rfam:Streptosporangium roseum DSM 43021, complete genome.
GCGGUUCCGGUUCCCGCCCGCGCGCACCUCAGUGUGCACACCGCGCGCAAGCCUGACAGGCGAGAGACAGUGGCGACCCGGCGACC